rnacentral:rRNA from 1 species
UUGAACGCUGGCGGCAGGCCUAACACAUGCAAGUCGAACGGUAACAGGAAGCAGCUUGCUGCUUCGCUGACGAGUGGCGGACGGGUGAGUAAUGUCUGGGAAACUGCCUGAUGGAGGGGGAUAACUACUGGAAACGGUAGCUAAUACCGCAUAAUGUCGCAAGACCAAAGAGGGGGACCUUCGGGCCUCUUGCCAUCGGAUGUGCCCAGAUGGGAUUAGCUUGUUGGUGGGGUAACGGCUCACCAAGGCGACGAUCCCUAGCUGGUCUGAGAGGAUGACCAGCCACACUGGAACUGAGACACGGUCCAGACUCCUACGGGAGGCAGCAGUGGGGAAUAUUGCACAAUGGGCGCAAGCCUGAUGCAGCCAUGCCGCGUGUAUGAAGAAGGCCUUCGGGUUGUAAAGUACUUUCAGCGGGGAGGAAGGGAGUAAAGUUAAUACCUUUGCUCAUUGACGUUACCCGCAGAAGAAGCACCGGCUAACUCCGUGCCAGCAGCCGCGGUAAUACGGAGGGUGCAAGCGUUAAUCGGAAUUACUGGGCGUAAAGCGCACGCAGGCGGUUUGUUAAGUCAGAUGUGAAAUCCCCGGGCUCAACCUGGGAACUGCAUCUGAUACUGGCAAGCUUGAGUCUCGUAGAGGGGGGUAGAAUUCCAGGUGUAGCGGUGAAAUGCGUAGAGAUCUGGAGGAAUACCGGUGGCGAAGGCGGCCCCCUGGACGAAGACUGACGCUCAGGUGCGAAAGCGUGGGGGGCAAACAGGAUUAGAUACCCUGGUAGUCCACGCCGUAAACGAUGUCGACUUGGAGGUUGUGCCCUUGAGGCGUGGCUUCCGGAGCUAACGCGUUAAGUCGACCGCCUGGGGAGUACGGCCGCAAGGUUAAAACUCAAAUGAAUUGACGGGGGCCCGCACAAGCGGUGGAGCAUGUGGUUUAAUUCGAUGCAACGCGAAGAACCUUACCUGGUCUUGACAUCCACGGAAGUUUUCAGAGAUGAGAAUGUGCCUUCGGGAACCGUGAGACAGGUGCUGCAUGGCUGUCGUCAGCUCGUGUUGUGAAAUGUUGGGUUAAGUCCCGCAACGAGCGCAACCCUUAUCCUUUGUUGCCAGCGGUCCGGCCGGGAACUCAAAGGAGACUGCCAGUGAUAAACUGGAGGAAGGUGGGGAUGACGUCAAGUCAUCAUGGCCCUUACGACCAGGGCUACACACGUGCUACAAUGGCGCAUACAAAGAGAAGCGACCUCGCGAGAGCAAGCGGACCUCAUAAAGUGCGUCGUAGUCCGGAUUGGAGUCUGCAACUCGACUCCAUGAAGUCGGAAUCGCUAGUAAUCGUGGAUCAGAAUGCCACGGUGAAUACGUUCCCGGGCCUUGUACACACCGCCCGUCACACCAUGGGAGUGGGUUGCAAAAGAAGUAGGUAGCUUAACCUUCGGGAGGGCGCUUACCACUUUGUGAUUCAUGACUGGGGUG